AUUGGAGGUUAGGGGCAAGGAGGGAGGUAACCUGGGUUUGGGUCUAUGAAGAAGGGGGGUGUUGGUUGGGUUUGGAAAGAGAAUGAGACAGAGAGAUGGAGAGGGAGAAUGAGAUAGAGAGAUGGGAGGACAAAGACUAGAGAGGGAGGGAUCAUGGAGAGAGGAUAGGAAGAGAAAGGGGAAGAGAAACAGAUUAUGUCGAUUUAUUGUAAUUAAAAAAUUUUAAAAAAAUUUAGCUAAAAUGGCACAUUAGCUUUUGUUAUCAGUAAACUAGUCAUUCAGUUAUAAGGGCUUUAGUGAUACUUAAAUUGAUAUUUAUGGGAGUUUAUGUUACAAAUUAAUGUUCAGCAAUGGUGCUGUUGUAGUGUCAAAUAUUCAAAGAGGAUGGAUGAAUUUUACCCUGCAUUUGUACAACGUGUCUUGCAACCUUUUUAAAUAGUUGCUUCUGAAGAAGAAUGUAUAUUGGCAUUUAAAAUACAUUCGAUAGAUGUUUACAAUAAUCUAAAAAUUACUUUGAAUUUGAUAAAAAAAAAAAAACCUGUGGACUAUGGAAGCGAUAGAAAAGAAUGUGAAUUAUACUUGAAGGAUUAGAUCUUUAGAAGUAAGGGAAGCACUUAAGAGAACGAAAGUGGGUAAAGCCUGUGAAUCCGAUGGAAUACUAAUUGAAAUGUGGAAUUGUUUGGGAGAUAUGGGAGUGACA
rnacentral:misc_RNA from 1 species